rnacentral:rRNA from 1 species
GGAUUAUAUCGACUUUAAAAAAAAUCCAUCCAUGAAGGUGUCGAGACGAUGUUGUUAUAAGAGACAAAAAAUUCACCGAGUUUUAUACAACGAAAGGCCCGUAGCAACGCACGGGCAUUCUACGAUUUUGUAGGAGGAUAUGAAACAUUUUCGACUAAAAUUAGCUGUCAUUUUGCUCGAUUCAGAGCUUAAUAAGCUAAAAGGAGGUCCCAUAUACCAUCAACCUGUCAAUGAAGAAACUUUAGCUAAUUCUGAUCUCGAGAUCCUGGAUAAUCCAUCUGACAUAGUCAAAAACAAACAUUCUGCCCCAAUCACUAUCAUACCCACGGACCAACGUGAAAUAUUUGCCGGCCUCUGCAACUACAUCAUGUUGAUCGAUGAUGCCUGGUGUUAGGAGAAGGUAUGAGUCCGGAGCUCGACACCUAAUUCAAUGGGCUUAAGUCUUAAGAAACUUCAGUGCAUACUUAACAUGGAGCAGCCUAUGGACAAUGAUUGCUUCAACACCGCCGUGCAUAUGCUGGCAUGUGACGAGGGAGUAUUGUUCACAGACCCUCCUAUACACUACAUGGAUCUACCAUUUUGUUCCAUGAUGCUAGAGUCAACACGAGGUCAGAAGUUUUGUGAGAAGGAAACUAUUCAGACGUUGGCAAUAUUAUUUGAUAGCUAGCUUGGGAUGGAGAACGACAUCUCAUCAUGCAACAAGAUUUAUCUUCCCUAUGCAUUCAUCGGCUGAUAAAUCUUGUACGUCACCGACAAAGAGGCACGUCGUCUAUAUAUUAUGGAUCGUAUUCAAACAUCACAAUUAUCAGAGGAUAAAAAAUUGAGGCAUGCAUUGAAAUUAAAAAGUUUUGUAAGGGAUUUCAAAGAAGCACUCGAAAUAAAGCUGCCUGGUUGGAAUUCUGAUAUAUCUAAAUGACAACAUUUUUUUCCGUUCGGUGUUCCAACGAGUAUAGACGGGAAUGUGUCUGGCUAUUUUGUUUUUCAUUUUAUGCUCUGGUGGAAUGGUAAAGAAUUGGUCAAGCUGGUUUGCGCUGUGAGGGAGCGGUAAAGAAUUGGUCAAGCCGGUUUGCGCUGAUGGGUAUGAAUUGAGAAAGCAUUUUUUAUUAUACUUGCUAAAACAUCGUGGGAAUGAAGCUAGAGGAAACUUUCCUGAUAUCGUGAAAAAAUUUCUUAAGCACAUCAUCUAGAUAUUAAUAGUUUUAUAACAGAUGUUCAGUUGGAACAUCGCUCAGUUUGUUACAUGGACAUGUCAUUAAUUUUUCUUUGUGUUAUCAAAUUACAUUGCAACAAUGG